rfam:Nomascus leucogenys chromosome 5, whole genome shotgun sequence.
ACUAGAGCCAAAUCUAUCUCAAAAGUUUAGGUCACUUUUUUUUCCUUUUUGAUAGUAUUGAAUGAGAAAUAACACUUUAAAUAAAACUUUUUCCAUGAGGAAGGUACAGUAAUUAUCCAU